ensembl:lncRNA
GUGAAAACAAGAUAUUUUCUGCAUGAAAAUUGUGCCAAAAGCCGAAUUGUGUGUAGUGUUUUGAAAAAAGUGUGUUUUAGAACUGCAAUUUGAGUGUAAAGCAGGGAUUGUGCUUGUAGUUUAGCAGAAUUGGUUCAGGGGGUUGGUGACUGAGUUACAUGUUGUGGUCAUUGUGUCUCAAGUACCAGAAUUUGUGUGUAAACAACUCUGAAAAACUGUAAUAUUUUUACUUUCCUUAGUCAUUUUGGUGAUGGGUGCUUUUGGUUUGAGCACCUGCCCCCCAAAAUGUCUGUGCACGUGCCUGGUUUUUCCCGGAUGUAUAUCCAUGCAUCUUUUAUAUUCAGGGAUGUAUAUCCAUGCAUCUUUUAUAUUCAAUUUACUCGGUUUCUGAUCUGGCAGGUCCAGAUGAGAAACAGUAUGCUGGGACAGCUUUGGCCUAAUAGAAAAUGGGGGGAAGCUUUACGAAAGUAGAGAAGAAGCUCAUCUGUCCAAUAUUGUCCUUCCCCGUGUCCUCACACAGGGCUCUCCCCUUCAUGGCCAUCAGCCGCUCAUGUUUAUCAGAUAGCUUGGAGUUAUUGAAGUAUUGCCUUUUGAUCAUUUCAUCUCUGGUCAUUUCAGCCUCUGACUGCUUUUGCUCUUGGCCCAACCUCUCAGUCACUAUGCGAGGAAAUUUGGUGUUUUGUGCCUCUGUCUCUCUGACACAGUUCAUUCUGGAAAUGUUGUCCCAAUGGUUUUGGACUUCAGUCUUCUUCAACUCUGUCUUUCUCUGUUCCUGCCACCUGCAGAACUUUCCGUCGUGUCCAUACUGGAAUGGAAAUACUUGCUCAUUUCCCCUUCUCAACGGCCUCUCUUUUGCUUUCUGCAGUUCAUUUUUUAAGAUAAGCUGGUGUUGAUAUUCCGCUAAAUCUAGGCUCAUGAGUUUUCUGUGAACAUUCCUUUCCGAAUGAUGAGUUUGAAGCUCAUCUAAAGGACUGGGCUUUUUUUGCAAAAGAUCCAGGUACUCAUCCUUUGCUGAGAUUUGGGUCGGCUCCUCGUCAAUCUCCAUAGGUCCUGUUUCUACAGAGUUGUUUACGUCUUCAUACUCUGGCCAAGGGCUAGUCAAUUGCUCUUCUGGUGGAGGCAUUGUCUUUAGUUUCCCCAUGUCCAUUUGUCCCGGUUUUAACACCAUGACUGUGUCCAACUCUAUCUCUGUGACAACCAUAUAUGCAGCUUCCUUCUCUCUCCCUCUCUGUGUUCUCUCUUUGGCUUUCUGCAGUUCGUUUUCCAUGAUAAUCUGCCGUUGAUUUUCUGCUAAAUCGAGGGUGAUGAGUUUUCUGCGAACAUUCCAUUCCUGAUGAUGAGUUUGAAGCUCAUCUAAAAGACUGGGCUUUUUUUGCAAAAGAUCCAGGUACUCAUCCUUUGCUGAGAUUUGUUUUGGCUCCUCGUCAAUCACCAUAGGUCGUGUUUCUACAGAGUUGUUGAUGGCUGCAUACUCUGGCCUGCUGAUCAGCCUUCUGUACCGACUGGAUCUCUUAGGUGACCGGCACCUCCUCGAGCCUCCGGUGUCGACCCACGGGACCUCACACGUCGGUUCGGCCGCCUCCUUUGUCGGACCACGAGCUCCACACAUCUCCUCCCCCCACCUCCUUCUCACUGGUUAAAAUAAAAACUAACACUGCUACAGUCUCCUGUGGUCAAGCUUUUGGGUCCUAACCUUGAACUCUCCUGACAAAAAGGCAGCUAAUUGAAUUG